GACGAACGCUGGCGGCGUGCUUAACACAUGCAAGUCGAACGAUGAACCCGGAGCUUGCUCCGGUGGAUUAGUGGCGAACGGGUGAGUAACACGUGAGUAACCUGCCCUUGACUCUGGGAUAACUGCGGGAAACUGUAGCUAAUACCGGAUACGACCCUCGGCGGCAUCGCCAGGGGGUGGAAAGAAUUUCGGUCAAGGAUGGACUCGCGGCCUAUCAGCUAGUUGGUGAGGUAACGGCUCACCAAGGCGACGACGGGUAGCCGGCCUGAUAGGGUGGCCGGCCACAUUGGGACUGAGACACGGCCCAGACGCCUACGGGAGGCAGCAGUGUGGAAUAUUGCGCAAUGUGCGCAAGCCUGAUGCAGCAACGCCGCGGGAGGGAUGACGGCCUUCGGGUUGUAAACCUCUUUUAGUAGGGAAGAAGCGAAAGUGACGGUACCUGCAGAAAAAGCACGGGCUAACUACGUGCCAGCCGCCGCAGUAACAC
rnacentral:rRNA from 1 species